AGCGGGAUAGAGCAGCCUGGUCAGCUCGUUGGGCUCAUAACCCAAAGGUCGCUGGUUCGAAUCCAGCUCCCGCUA
rnacentral:tRNA from 1 species